rnacentral:pre_miRNA from 1 species
CAUCUGCAGGCUGGCUGCCCCCUAGGCUGGGCUGGGUGAGUAUCUCUUCGAAAGGCUCCCCCUCAAGCACGACCAGGAGC